UAGUGGGAAUGACGUGUGACAGCUGAAGGAAAGCUGUGAUUCAUUUAGAAGCUGGAACCUUGAACAAACUCAGUCUCCAUUUCCAAGUCCAUUUGAGUCAUAUCUAAGACUAGGAAGUACACUUUGGAAUACAGCUUGAGCUUGCAGUGAUGCUACUACAGCUGCAUUCAGCCACAGGAUUUCGUCAACAUCAAGUGUCAAAUUAUGCCUACGUCACUUGGGACUCACCAACAUUUAGGCUGAGUCCGCCUUGAACGGGGAUGGAUUUCAGCUGGUUUCUUAUUUGGUUGAUCAAUUGAUUCCAAUUCUGAACCCAAAUGCAGCUGACCGACUCUUCAACUAUUACCCAUUUCUGAUUUCAACAUUCCAUAUGAAGCCAAUAUGCAUAAAAUAAACCAAAUUAUCAUUUGAACAAAAAUAGAUAAGCACCCGGUACAAGUGAUGUUGGUAAAACACAAGGUUUGAAGGAUUGAAUCAUGAUGUAUCUCAACUGCUCAUUGUAGAAGUCUUGUAUUCCCACAAGAAUCAGGUCUCCAGACAUAUUUCAAAAUUCAAACCUAACCAUGCUUUAGUGGUUUCUAGCAAUUGAUCUCAUGAAAGGUCAAAAUAAAGCAUGUCUCCACAAUCACUAAAUUCAGUAGGUGUUUCAUAGCACAAGAAAUGCAAUCACUGAAUUCAGUAGGUGUUAUGAAGCGAUUUCUUUCCAAGUAAAAUUAGACUAGUACAUACGCCUAUGCUUUCAACUCAAGGCUAAGAGGGGAUAAUUUCACAAAAUUGGAGGUUCUGAACUUGCUGCCUUUUUUUUUUCCUGCCAUUUCAGCUUCAAAUGCACUAGCAUCUGAAGUUUUACCUUCUCCAUUGCCAUUGGUUUAAGAUUUGGUAGCCGUUUGGCCUGCAACUCAUAUUCAGUCACGCGGCUCUUGACAUGUGUACAAUAAAUCCUCCAAAAUUCUCGUUCCUUCAAGUGGCGAGGGCAAAGCCUAAAUCUAAGUUGUGAAAAUUUCUGGAGAGAGAAAACAAGGGACUGGGUGAAGAAAAAAAAGUUAAAAUGCAGAAUCACCUCAAGAAGCAAUCUUCAUCUUUAUGCAAGUUGAAGUACAAAAACUUCCAUGCCAAGAGUUACAGGUAAAUAAACAUAGAACUACUAUCUUAUAGAAAUUGUUAGUUCAAAACUGCCGCAUUAUUGCAUUAAUAUAGCUCUUAGUCUUUAUUUCAUAUAAACUGUCUCCUCAUAGCUGCAGAAGCAGUACUAAGAAUUUCAAAGCUAAAAGUAGCUCCAGUAGUUCCCUUUUCCUCAGCUAAAAAGAUUUAAUAAAACCCACGACUGACUUGGAAGAAAGAAUUGGCAUUCGAUGCCUGUAGAAGAAAGAAUUGCAGGCUCCAGGCAGUGAAUAAGAGGGUUACCUUGGAGUGGGAAAUUCUUGAAGGUGUCAACUGUGAAGGACUUGAUCGAUUAAUUGGGGAGUGACUUCAAGCAGCUCUUCUUCUUCUUCAUUUUUUUUUCUUUUCUGCUGAUUUCACCUUUUGGUGUUCUUUUAGCAGUGCGUGGAAAGUUGAAA
rnacentral:misc_RNA from 1 species